rnacentral:lncRNA from 1 species
UUUUUUUUUUUUUAUGAAGUAAGGUGUUUCAUUAAAAACAAGCAUCAAGAAGAUGCAUAUUUACAUAGUUACGGAAGGCCUAGUUACAAAAGACAAAAACAAAAGAGAGAAGCACCCUAUACAAAGUGUCAAUCUAGGACAAAAGUACUAACAAAGUCCAAAAAAUGCAAAAAAGUUCAAGUAGCCAUUUUGCCUUGAGAGAGUGAUUUGGAGUUGAGAUGCCAUCAAAAUAUCUUCUAUUCCUAUUUGUCCAUAAACACCAAAAAAUAGCUGUAGGAAUCAUCAACCAGAUUUUCUUGACGGCCGUAUUAACUUUCCACAAACUCCAACUAAUGUGUGCCUGUCUCAUAUUCUGUGGCAUAACCCAACUCAGGCCAAAAAUAUGGUAGAACAUAUUCCAUAUGGUAGUUAAUCUACCUGUAAUCUCUGAAAGUUCUAUAAUUUACAUCCAAUUUGAUGUAAGAUAAUAGUAGCGCUUCAUACUAUUUACAUGUUACAGUGUAGUUCAACUUUUGUGUGCCUGACAGUUUCUGAUUCUGAAUAGAUCAUUUUCUCCAUUUUAAAGUAUAACAUGGUCGAACAUAAUGUCCUCAUCGAGAUGCAUGAUUUUCUUCCAUAGCAAGUUUCCAAGUGCUUGUGCUGUCUCUUUAUUGAAUGUCAAUGUACAUAAUGUACAGCUUUCAUGCUAUGUUAGCAUCAUGUGAUAUCUUUUGGUUUUGCUGAAAGUCUUGAUCAGCGUUCCAUCUGUCGUGUCUGAUCAAGUUACUUGUUUCCUUUCUGUAGAUAAAACUAGGAACGAUGGAUCAGGAUGAAGCUCAAACCGAGUGGGUCAUAAGGCCUUACAUGAACACAUCCAAAAAACAGAAGUUUCUAGGGGACUGAAGCUGCAGAAUAUAAACUUUGAAGCCCCCAAGCAUUAACAGAAGUUGAUUUCAAACUUUGGUGGUCGUUGCUGCCAAAAUCAAUUUUGUUAGCGAGAAAACAUCACAUAGCAAUAUAUGUGUUUGAUCAUUGAAUCGCAGGAGAGCUAUAUAUCUCUCGGUUUGAUCAUUGAUCAUUGCAAAUAGGUUAAAUAAUGCAAUAUUUACGCGGAAAUAUUUUUUCUAAUAUCUCCAGUUUAACGCUGAUUAGUUUAUGCAAAAUUUUGUUAUGGAACUAUUUCUCCUAGUUUGUUAAACUAAAUUCUUUGUUAUCGUGUUUCUUUUUAAACUGCUUUUAUUUUGCUUCCCUUGAGCCGAUGGUCUAUCAAAAACAACUUAUCUACUUACUCAAGGUAGGCGUAAGGUUUGCAUACACACCAUCCUCCUUAUACCUUGCUUAUAGGAUUACAAGGAUUACAAGUAUAUUGUUGUUAUUAUUAUUGUUUCGUUAAACCAAACGACCCCUUAAUGAUUAUGUUGAAAAGUUGUGCGUUGAAGUUGCGAUGCUGCACUAAUCUGUUUUGAGUGCUAAUCAUUAAUCCCUUUCUUCAUUCGACCCCAUUCUAGUUUGCUAGUUAUGGAGUGGCUCGAAAUGGAAAGGUUAAGGAAGAUAUUCCCACCUUGCAUCUCUCAAGCUAUAAUAAGUUACUUUCAUGAUAAGUCAGUUUCAUGACAAUUCCAGGACCAACUGCUAUAAUAUUUUUUGGUUGACAAAGCCUCGCCUUCUCAUUAAAAAAAAUUGCAACUACUGCCAGAAGGUUUCCUUUCUUCGAGUAUGAAUUAAGUGUAAGAUUACUGGACCACUUCAAAGCCAUAGUGAAUAACUUGUAAUCUUUUUUCCUUUUCUUCUGGAGCGAGGCUUUUACUUGUAUCAGCUCCUAUUAGGUUGUUACGGAACUUUUAGAUGAGAUAAUCAUACAAUUAACCAUAAGAGCAGAGUAUGCAGAGUCAAUGAAUUUUCACGUAGUUACCCCAUAAAAAAGAUCAAGCUCGUUCAUGUGGCCACACACUUCAACAAGUAAUGUGGGAUGGUAGUUUUUAAAAAAUAUCAAAACCUUCACCACAUCUUCUAACUGCCAUAAACUACUUUUCCCAACAAAAAAAAAAUUAAAAUUUUUUUUUUAAAAAAAAUCAGCAAACCAUUAGCUAUAACUGUGUAAUUGUGUUCCUCUUGAUGCUUAUUUUUUAGCAAUAAGAGGUCAAAUAAUCACAAAAGAAAUUUGAGUUCCAACACCAGAAGCAUCCUAUGUAUUAGGAUAGAAAAAGAAACUACUUAAUCUUUGUUAGAAAAUGCUUUUCUGUUAUCUUAUUAGCUUCAUUCAAAUGUUAAUAAUGUUCUUCACUUUUUAUGGUUACUGAACUUGUAGUCCUUUUCCUGCUCUCUACAAGUACCACAUAAAUUUUUCACAUAAUGUCUCAUAAUUUAAACAUUUUUAUAACUCUAUUUUUAGAUAUUUGAAUUACUUUUAGUCAAAUCCCCGCACCCGUAUCCGUAGCUAGAUACAUAAUCCCAAUCUUAAAAUUUGGAUCAUAGAGGAUUCAACCUCUAGAUCCGCAUCCGUAUCGGAUAACUACAACCGAGUCCGAGCAACUUAGCUAGAGAAACUAACUCGUUGAUACACUGGGAAAGAUGGACUAUUGCUCUGCUAGUAGUCCUAUACAUAACAAUAUAGUGAAAUCAUAACACUUGGAAAGAAACUCCUUGAUUGUCCAAUUUGUUUCCCCGUCGAAGGGGAGUGCCAGCCAGGAUACAUAGCAGAAAUAUUUUUUUUGAAUGAUCAGGACAAAAAAACAAGUAUUUUGAUUAAGACUUACGCUGUGCACAAGUGGUUCUACAAAACUUAAUGCAUGUAGAUAUUUAUAUACAUCAUAGUUCUAAUCCAUUGAGUCAAGACUUGGUGCAUACCAGCCCAACUCUUCUGUGAUCUUUUUCAUUCUUUCUUCUUGUCCUUUUGAAUCUCCUAAUGCUGUAGUAAAUGGGUAUAUAUAGGUCACUUUUGUGGCCAUUGCUCUAUAGGCAACUGAAUCUCCUUUCACCAAAAAUUCUAAAACAUCUCUGCCGAAUCCUCCAUCUACCUCAGCCUGCAAAUAUUUUCCUGCAUGCAAUUGUUUCCAUCAUCAGCAAACAGGAAUUUUUCUUAUUCAGUCCUAAAUUCUAAUUAAUCAAUGUUUGAUGAAAUAAAUGUUCAAUACAUCUUGAUUUCAUUUGAACACUUUGUGAUCUUUUUUGCAGUUUCAUCUGUAUCUAUCUAGUCAUUUCAGGCAUCUAUUGCAUAUCGAUCGAGUAAAGUGCAGUGUUUGAUGCAUCUUCUUUUAGUAUGAUUACCAUCAGGGAUAUCUUCAAUAACUUGAAUCAUUGCAUUCUUCUGUGUCUUCAAAAUGGCGUCCUGCAAUUGCUGCAACGUACAGAUGAAGAAUUUAACAGACAGAUAGACAAUUGCGAACAAAAUCAAAACGACUAUCGGAAGUCUACAUCUUAUUUACCGUAAUAGCAUUGCCAGUAGAAUUUUGAGGAAUCAUCCAGGGGAAGGCAGAAGAAGAAGACUGGGGAUUUGUCGACACACACCCCGGAUUAACUGAGGGGCAAGGUCUGAUUUUUCUGCAAUAGCAGGCGACAUGCAUAAACCAUAAGCCAAUGGAAGAAGUAAACCUUAAUUAAUUCAGCAGCCUGCCUUUAGAUAAUUGUCUCAAUUCUAUAUAUGCAAGAGAACAGAAUGGUUGUACUUUUGGAAGCUAAAUUAGCAACAUUAAUUAUAUCCCCAAGUAGGCAAGGAGUGCAUCGCAUAUUUUACUUAUGGAGUUAAAUUAACACGACGGUCCCUAAUACAGUAUCUAAAACUACAAAAAAUCAGAUUCAAAUAACAAUUGGAAUUACGAAAUAACACUAUAGACAUUAAGGGACUAGGUGAAUUCCAAAAAAUCUAUACCUUGUCUAUUGAAGUGACUUUGUGACAGUAGCAUAUUUGAGGAUGAGUACAUGAGGUACCUGCUACAAACUACUAGUACCAAUACUUGGUAAACAUUCUUAGCCGAGGAGGUUCGCAACUAGACUAUCUUCCUGCAAUAGGCUUCAGCAUUUAUAGAUUCUACUCCUUCAACGUAACGGAAUAAUGGAUCAUGCGUGUGUUAAGCUGCCGACAAUGACAAAAUUUUACCUCUAGCAGUUGACAAAAUUAACUUAGCUGUGCCUCCUUAUUGAAUUGUGAACGACCACAUCAAAAAACUUGAACUGUUAAGGAGGGACAGAUUUCUAUAGGAGUGUCAAUUUGAGCCCAAACCCAUUCAACCCGCCAAGAGAUUAAUGGGUUGAGCUACAACAUUUAACUCAUGGGUCUAUUUGGACUGCGCCCAAGUUAACCCAUUAUUUUUUAUAGCUCAUUCUGACACAUGAAGUAGCCCAAAUACAACCCAUGAAGCAAAAAAAUUUUUUACUGUAUUUUCAAUUUUCUGUUUUUUCGUUUUCCUGCACCACCCACCCCAACCCCCUGCAUAAAAAAAAAUUUACUGUAUUUUCAAUUUUCUGUUUCUUCGCCCUAGCAUGUUGAGAUUAUUUAUGAAGUGGUAAUUGUGAAACCUGCACCAUCUCUAACUUAUCUAAUAUCAUUUUGAAUUGUGCGACAAUCUUAUCUAAAAAUUUAAACAGUUAGGAAAUAUAAAAUUUAUAUUUACUUGUCUCCAGCACGUCUCCUCACGUGGGACUAGCAUAUGGAAAUUCAUUGUGAUAGACGGUCGAGGUGAGACCUGUACUCAGAACCUUAGUAUGCUUUGAUAUGCAUGUUGAAUUAUGUGAGUAAUGUGACUAUCUUACCUAAAAGAUUUAAACUUUAAGAUAGAUGGUCGUACAAUUCAACACAGUAGCUUUAAUUACCAUGAGUUACACAAACAACUCCGACUCGGACUCUGCAAUGAGAGAGAUUUAAGUGCCCAUUUGACUUUCCUCAAAGUGCAAAACAGAUAAUUAACAACAUUAUUAUAAACUUGAUUAGGAUAGCUAAAAUGAGGAAAUAGAGAGCGCAGAAAAUUACCCAUUUUCGAGUCCAGUGGGCAAGUUCUUGGAUUGUGAGAAUGGGGUUGUGGGAACGAGCGAAGAAGAUUUGGAGUCGAGAAAAGGUAUCGCCGAAGAAGACAAGGGAGUGACCAGCGAAACAGCAACUGCUAAAGGGAGUACCUUGGACCAAAAAUAUGGUACUGUUGCUACGGAUUGGUGGUGUUCAACUUUAGUAGUAGCUGCUACAUUGGUCGGCGAAUUGUGUUUGGCAGUGACUUUGGGAAGCAGCGGAAGAAGCUGACCGCUCAUUCCAAAUGCCAUGUUUGAUGUUUCUAUUUCUUUUCCGUCCCGUCUAUAUGAAGCCUACUAUUUAUGGUCCACGGAAUGCCACGUUUGACAACAGAUACUUUCAUGAAUCCCAUAUGUUUGCUCUUGGUUUUGCUCUUUUAGAGCCUACUUUAAUUUCCUUAUUGUUUAAAAUUACUGGUUUUAUAAAUUUGAAUUUGUUUUGGAUUAGGUUCAACAAAGAAGAAAGCAUUUUUGUAUCAGUUUCUUUAUACUCAAAUUCGAGAUAUUUAGUUAUAGAUGGAGAAAUUUCAUCAAUUCUACCCUACUUAUUAACGGUGCUCUAUAGACAUUUAUAUUUACAAGUCCAGUUACGUUUUUCUCUUUUUGCAAUAAUAUGAAAUCAAAUUUGGUGCCGUAUGAUAUGGUACGAAUCAAGUUAUAGAAAAGUUAUAAAGCGAUCGACUUUCCUUGAUCUUUGAAGAUAUACAAACUUAAUGUGAAUUUUCGUAAGCUGUAACUGUUGAGGAAUUGCUAUCCGGUCGGAUCCAUCCAUAAAGCUGCUAAAUAGCAUAGUUGGUUUAUUUCACUAUGCUGUUAUUAGUGAUAAAUAACUUCACUUUAUCAUAAAUUAGAUAUUUCUACUAUUAGAAAUUGUCGUGAGUGAAUGAGUCAAAAUCCAUCUUUAGUCAAAAUAGUAUUAGUAAAAUAUUCCUGGGAUGUCACGCGUCGAAAUAAUCUAAUUAUCAGCGAAGGCCGCGGUCGAAGAGUCAGCAAGUCUGAAGUCGAGGAGUUGUCAUUGAGGCCGAGGUCGAGCACCCUUAACAGAGCUGUAACGGCUAGUUUCGAGAUAGGAUACAAAAGAGAAUAUUCUAGUGAAUAUUCUCUACACUUGUUCUAUUAGGGGUUUUAGGAACAUGUUUCCUAUAAAUGGAAAGAGAUACAAUGAUAGGGAACAUGUGAUAUUCAUUUGUAAAAAUACACUUUGACUUGAGAAAGAGAAUCAGAUCUCAUUGCAAAUAUACAAACAUCAUCUUCUCACUAAGAUUCUUGUCUAUACUUUUCCACUAUAUGAGAAUAACUCAAAUAUUCAAAGGACUGUCCAUCACUCAUCAUUGUUAGAAAGAACAUUCACCGAUUCCAUCCUUUCUUGGGUGACUCAUUCAUUCUAUUUACUUAAAUGUCAUUUAUUGCUAUUCAUUAAGAUUUAAUACUACAUUAUUAUCUUUGAUUUUUGGAAUAUUUAUUGCAUGUUGCCGUUGUUACCCUGAUAUAUCUACAUAGUAUUUGUUGCAUUUCCGAGAACUCUACCUUAGGGAUAUUAUUAUUAGCUAAGAUUAACCCUCAUUUAUAUAAAUUUAAUUAUUUGAAUCAAGUAUUAUUUUUGGUCAAACAAUCUGGCGUCGUCUGUGGAGAUUUCUUAGCUAAAUUUUUAGUUUCCUCUAGAUCUACAAUUAACGGAAGUCACUAACGUCAAAACCCCCGAGAUCUUCUUUCUUCGUGCAUGCAAAACCCUACAUGGCAGGUAAUCAAGGAGAAAGGACAAAAAUAACAAGUGACUUCUAAACCAACUUCAGGAAUGUCAUCAAUGAAAGCUGUGAAACAGUAUGUGAGGACACGACGCCCAACGCGUCCCCUAUGCAAGCGAGGUCGCCUCCCCUACAUUGCAGCAUAACAAAACCCAGUGGAAAAGGGGCCUCCACGUCCGCAGAAGAAGGGACGCACGCCCCCAGCUGCUAAGAAGCUCCUCGAAGCAUGGUUGACCGACACACUAGCAAGCGGCCUCAACAAACCCGCUCCAGGCAUGGCUGCAGAAACCGUAAAAGCCUGCAUGAUACAACAAACAGACGAGCAGUGCAACCGACCAAACCCUCCAAUAAUAGGUAUAACUCGCAAUAUUACUAACAAUGCAGGCGACAACGGCCUCGCUGCCAUUCUAAAGAGGAUGGAAGAAAUGGAGAACGAAAACAAGGCAUUCCGAAACCAGAUGAAAGAAUACCAAGAACGGAUCGACAAGAUACCGAGCGCUCCUAAGUUGCUGCCAAAAAGGGACGCCGACAGGUUCAUAGAACAGUUGUACAGCGAUGACGCAACCUCGCAUGCCAUACCAAAGACCUUCAAAAUGCCACCCUACCUCAAGAUAUACGACAGAGCGACCAAUCUUGAGGAUUAUGUGAGUCAUUACGUCACCAUCGUGAAAGGCAACGACCCCGCCAAGGAACAAGUGUCCUCUAUUUUGCUGAAGAAGUUUGGCGAAACCCUUACAGGAGGAGCAUUAACAUGGUAUUCACAACUACCAGCCCGCUCCAUAGAAAACUUCGAUGAAAUGGCCGGUAAGUUUGUAAUCGCCCAUGUCGGAGCCAAGAAGGCCAAAGCGAGAGUAAAUGAUAUAUUCGCUAUUAAGCAGUCCUUGGGAAAGGAACUUCCUCGCCCGGUUCAACAGAUUAAGGAUGACUCUACCGAACGUAUCCGAAGGUAUGGCGGUCGUCGCCUUACAGAACGCACUGAGUAGGGAUGGUUCAAGAGAAACUAGGAAACUGCUAAGCCGUUUGAUGAAAUAUCCCCCAAACACUUGGGAUGAAAUCCAUAAUGCUUAUUGCGCCGAGGUCCGAGCAGAUGAAGAUGACCUCAACGGACCGACUCAUCGGCUAGUAUUAGUACAAACCGAAUCCAGAAAGGAACGAAGAGACAACAUCAGGAGGGAUCACCCGAUUCUGCGACCUAAUAUGGAACGACAUCAACCAUAUAUUAGGGCAGUCACCGCCAUUUCCCCUCCUAUGAAGAAGGCCCAUCCAGGCCAAUGACAAGGACUCACCGGAACAAAAAAGGUAUGCCCCCUUUAUUAUCUGCUCACAAUUUUUGUGUGUCAGCUGCAAAAAUAGUCUACACUCUUGAGAAACUCGAAACGAAGGUGAAGUGGCCGUCAAAGAUGAGAUUAGACCCGAACACCAGAAAAUCCAACGCCCUCUGUGAGUUCCACUAAGAAUGUGGGCACAAAACAGAGGACUGCAUCGCCCUCAGAUAAGAAGUCGUAAACAUGUUGCGGCAAUGGCACCUCAAGGAGCUGCUAAGCAAUAAGGGAAGAAACAACUUCGCUAGAGGACACGAACUCCAAGGCCCGCCGAAGCCUCCAUCACUAGCUCGUACUAUCAACAUGAUCAUCGGUGGCGGCGAUGACACCUCUAUCAACAACGUGAAGUUCACCACCACUCAUAAGCUCAAGCAGUCUAUCACCCGCGAACGGUACGACGAACUCGAAGAAAGUAUCAUCUUCGACGAGUCAGAUGCUGACGGUUUGACUUUCCCUCAUAAUGAUGCCCUCGUUAUUACUUUACGCAUUUUAGAUACCAAUGUCAAAUGCGUCAUGGUGGACGACGAAAGUGGCGCAUGCAUUUUCCAUCCCCGAGUCCUUACCCAAAUGAGACUCGAGGAGUAGAUAGUGCCGCGCUGCAUCACGCUAACCAGUUUUAAUAAUGAAGUUGAGCGGACAUUCGGGGAAAUUAUAUUCCUCAUCUUGGCCGGUGGAGUGACACCGGAGACGAUAUUCCACAUCAUGGACCAGGCCAUUGCGUACAACGCCAUAGUGAGAUGACCAUAGAUACAUCCCAUGAGAGUCAUCCCCUCUAGCCUAUACCAAGUAAUUAAAUUCCCAACACCAUGGGGGAUAUUCAACAUACGCGGGGAACAACGCACAUUCCAGGAAUGCUACCACAUUGCCUUAGACAGCAUGGCCACCCAAUAGAGAAACGACAAAGAAAAAGAGGCAUAAUUAUCAACAGGGUCGAGGUCGAAGCAAGAUGAGACCGGGGACAUCAUCAUGGAUCCCGACACGAUCGAGGAUGCAGGUUCGACCAUAGAAGACCUCUACCCCAUUCAAUUGGACCUCAACGACCAUAGCAAGAAGGCCUAUAUCGACUACAAACUCCGAGAACCAGGUAAAUUCAGUCAAUUCUUAAUAGCUAAUGCAUAUUUGUUUGCUUUCAGCCAUACAGAUAUGUCGGGCAUCCCAAAGGAAAUAUCCACACACAAAUUAAAUGUCGACCCACUCCACCCCCAGUAAGACAGGUCAGGCGUAAAUUCAACUCCACCAUCAACGAUGCAGUCCGCGAGGAGGUGGAAAAACUGUUAGAGAAUGGCUCCAUCAGGGAGUCGAAAUACCCCAAGUGGAUCGCCAACGUAGUGAUGGUCAAAAAGAAAAAUGGGAAAUGGUGGAUGUGUGUGGACUUCACAGACUUGAACAAAGCAUGUCCAAAGGAUUCGUUCCUAUUACCCCAUAUCGAUCAACUCAUCGACGCAACAGCCAGGCACGAACUAUUAAGUUUCUUGGAUGCUUACUCAGGCUAUAACCAAAUUUUUAUGGAGGAAGAUGAUCAGGAGAAGACCACGUUCAUCACCCACCAAGGGACGUAUUGCUAUAGGGUCAUGCCGUUUGGACUAAAGAACGUGAUGGCCACUUAUCAAAGAUUGGUAACAAAUAUGUUCAAAAACCAGCUCAGUAAGACCAUGGAGGUAUAUAUAGACGACAUGUUGGUUAAGUCCGAGAGGGCAGAGGAUCACAUCGAUCAUUUGAAAGAAACUCUCGACAUACUCAGACGGUACAAAAUGAAACUGAACCCGGAGAAAUGUGCGUUUGGUGUAGCCUCUGGAAAACUUUUGGGUUUUUUGGUGUCGUAGAGAGGAAUCGAGGUCAGCCCAUACCGGAACUCUUAACCAUCAAAAAGCAAGUCCAAAGGCUGACUGGUCGAAUCGCCGCCCUAUCAAAGUUCAUCUCACAGUCGUCGAAUAAAUGUCACUAAUUUUUUGGUGUACUCAAGAAGGAUAAUGACCUUGAAUGGACUCCCGAGUGCAUCCAGGCUCUGCGAGAACUGAAGGCAUACAUAUCAUCACCGCCCUUGCUUUCAAAACCCGAACCUGGGGAGCAACUCCUCGUCUAUCUAGCCAUCUUCGAGGUAGCGGUAAGCACAGUCCUGAUCCACGAAAACAAAGGUACGCAAUCUCCCAUCUAUUACAUUAGCAAAACACUCUUCGACGCCGAGACGAGGUAUUCGCACCUCAAAAAAUUUGCUCUGGCCCUGGUUGUAGCUUCACGAAAGCUUAGAACCUAUUUCCAAUGCCACCCCAUCUCGGUCGUCACAACCUUUCCCUUGAGGAGCAUGUUGCAUAAACUCGAGCUGUCAGGGAGGCUGGCCAAAUGGGCCAUCGAGCUAAGCUAGCACAAUAUCACAUACCAGCCAAGAACGGCGAUAAAGUCAUAAGUUCUCGCCGACUUCAGUGCUAAAAUAAUGCCCGAAGUUGAAAGAGAAGACGUCCAACCUUCCCUCCAAACACAAGACCUCUAAGUCCUGUACAUUGACAACGCAUCCAAUGCAUCAGGGUCCAUACUGGGCCUCAUACUCGAGGUCCCAACAUGUGAAGUAAUUCGCCAUUCCAUAAGGUGCCUGGAUAUGACUAACAAUGAGACCGAGUAUGAGGCCGUAAUUGCAGGAUUAAGGCAAGCACUCAAGUAUAGGGAGAAACGGUUAAACUCCAUUGUGAUUCCCAGCUCGUAGUCAACCUAGUCGCUGGGACUUUCCAAAUCAAGAAACAAAGGUUACAAAAAUACCAGACCAAAAUCUGCAAGCUAUUGCUUGAGUUCGACGAGUGCUAGCUCGAUCAGAUCCCGCGUGCACAGAAUGCCGAAGUAGAUGGCCUCGCCAAACUGACCGCAGCUACCAAAAGCAAAACGACCGGAGAUCGAAGCAUAGUUCAUCUCCUCAACUCAUCGCUGGACCAAAUCGAGGUAAAAACCAUAAACUUAACUUGGGACUGGCGCAAUCGUAUUAUCGCAUAUUUGCAGGACGGCACACUACCAGGCGAAAAAAAAAGCCAAGAAACUAAGAAUGCUGGCGGCCAGAUACAGUCUUCUCCAGAGCGAUCUAUAUAAGAGGACUUACGGCAGCCCUCUGGCGAAAUGUUUGGGCACGAACCAAAUUCAGCGCAUCCUUGAAGAAGCCAUGAAGGCCAUUGCGGAGCUCACUCCGGCAAUCGAGCACUGGUCAGAUGCCUCAUACGAGCGGGAUACUAUUGGCCCACCAUGAAAAAGGAUGUCGUAAACUUCGUGAGAAAAUGCAAACAGUGCCAAAAGUACGCCCCAAUGAUUCAUCAAGCGGGUGAACACCUCCACUCAGUCAUCUCCCCCAUCAAAUAAGGAAUGGACAUCAUGGGUCCCCUCCCAGCAGGGCGAGGUAAUGUACAAUUUCUUUUGGUUUUAACUGACUAUUUCUCUAAGUGGGUGGAAGCAGGAGAAUUCAACCAAAUACAGGAACAGGAAGUAAUCACCUUUAUAUGGAGAAACAUCAUCUGCCUAUUCAGCCUACCCAAAGAAUUUGAUUUUGACAAGGGACCCCAGUUCACAGGAAAGAAAACCGAAGAAUUCUUCGAGAAAUGGUGUAUCCAAAGGAUACUCUCAAUCCCAUAUCAUGCAGCGGGUAACGGGCAAGCAGAAUCCUCCAAUAAGUCCAUACUAAACAUCAUGAAGAAAAAGCUCGAAGACGCUAAGGGACUGUGGCCGGCAAUACUAAUGGAAGUAUUAUGGGCCUACCGAACAACUCUGACAACGAGCACAGGAGAGACGUCCUACUCUUUGGUCUAUGGGACCAAGGCAGUAAUACCGGUAGAGGUCGAAGAACCAAGCCUAAGGUACUCCCAUGAAAGCAGCAUGAGUAACGAUGAUAGCAGAAGGCAGGAACUUAACGAAAUCGACGAACGAAGAGAUAUGGAGUACAUAAGAAUGGUCGCCCAAAAAUAACAAGCAGAACGAUAUUACAACAAAAAAGCAAAGUUCCGGCCACUUAAAGUCGGGGACUACGUACUGAAAGCCAAAACUCAAGUGAGCAAAGACCCCCGAGAAGGCAAGCUGGGAACAAACUGGGAUGGUCUGUACAAAAUCACAGCCAAAGCAAACAAGGGUUCAUUCCAACUAGAGAUAAUGGAAAGAAAGCAACUACCAAACAACUGGAAUAUCAGCCACCUCAAAUACUUCAACUUCUGAGAGAAAAAGGGGCCCCCGAGUCGUACUCUUUUUCCCUCACUUGAGUUUUGUCCUAUUUGGGUUUUCUCAAGGAGUUUUUUAAUGAGGCGGCAAAGGGAGAACUUUAGAUCGAAGUACGCGAGGGUAGGACCCUUGUUACUAUUUCAUAUCUCGACUUCUCAAUACUCUCCAAGUCAAACAAUGCAGGGACUGGGUAGACUGGGACUGGGACUGGAAUAUCAGCCAAUACCCAAAAUCUAUAAUUUUCUCCAAGUAUGUAACCAAAGCAACAAUGUCAAAGCAAUAAGAAGAGUACUCUUAUCAGAACACAUUUUUCGUAUUAAGGUUAUGUUCGACCUCGCUCGAACAAACACCUACCAGCCCUCGACCGUGAUUCAAUAAAAGGUUAUGUUCAACCCCGCUUGAACAAACACAUACUGGACCUCGACCGUGACUUAACGAAAAGGUUAUGUUCGACCCCGCUAGAACAAACUCCUACCGACCCUUAGUCACGACUUAAUGAAAAGGUUAUGUUCGACCUUGCUCGAACAAACACCUACCGGCCCUCGGCCAUGAUUCAAUAAAAGGUUAUGUUCGACCUCACUCGAACAAACACCUAUCGGCCCUCGACCAUAUUUCAACAAAAGUAGGACAAAAGCGAAACGAGCAAACAAUAGAAGCAAAAAACAUACAAGUAGAGAAAGUAAACCACAGUAAGGGAAAAAGACACAAAGAACAACAUUGAUAUUUCAUCCUUAAAAACUGUUUACAAGGGCUCGUGAAGACGCCAGCAAAAACACACAAAACAUCAAAAGAAAACUACUGGUCGUCGCCAUCACGAGCUUCAGUAACGCCCCAACUUAGUUCUCAAUGGUGUCAUCACCCUGACUGCCAAUAACUUCGCCAUCUCGAUUCCCCUUGCCAUCGCCACCUUCUCCCUCAGGAUAAGCAGUAUUGUACUAGGCAUUCUCCUCAAGCCAGUCUAUAACUUAGUCAACCUCCAUCUUAUCGGCCUUAGGCGUAGAGGGAUCGUGCCCACAAGCGACUCGAGCUUCACGAGCCUUAACACGAACAUCUUCAAGGGCACUCUUAGAAACGGAUCCCGCCGCAUGCAAAUCUCGAAAGACAUCUAACUGGGCCUCGGGAUGAAUCCACUCCUCAUAUAACUCCCGAGGAACAUUGGAAAAAUAUGAAGUGUGGGGGCAGGAUGGCUAUGCAAGUAAUUCGGCCUUCUCAGCCUCCAGAGCAACAACUCGAUCGUAGAGACAAGAAGUCUCUUUCUCCAACUCCCCAAUCCUUUCAUCGAGCCGUUCUUCUUUGAGCCUUGCCUUCGUUAAAUCAUUUUCUCGCUCGAAACGGAGAAUCCGGAUCACCACCUCAAGGGACUCCGCCUUCCUUAAAGCCUCUGACCGUACAGACUCCGCCUUCUCUAGCUCCCCAUGCUUCUUAGCGACCUCACCACUAAGAGCUUCCGCCCUAAACUGACAUUCCUCAAGUUGGCCUCGCAACAUGACUACCUGAGCUUGGAGAUCACUGCAAUGGACUUCGACCCCUUGCUAAGCUCAAGCUCUUCCUCCUUGCUCCUCAACGUACCCUCUAGGAUGCUGCACUUCCCCGCCAUCCAUACUAGCUCCUCGUCUCUUGCCUUCAAGUCCUCCCUCAGUUGGCACACAUCGCCGCCUUCGCGAAGCAGGCACCGAAGCUCCCGAUACUUCUCAAGACAUUUGAAAUACUUGUCCUUCAACUUCACAUAGAUAUAUUUAUGCCUCUACUCUCUACGAACACUUUCAAUCUCCAAGACAACUGUCUACAAAAUGAAUGAAGGAAGUUAGAGACUACGAAAGAACAAAACCUAAGGAAAAUAGCUGACAGCAAAUGCACUUACCCGUAGGGCGAGACCAGCAAUGUUAUUUAACAGGGCGUUGUCAUCUAUGGUCUUGAAGGUCGUACCCUCAAUCUCAGAACAAAGAGGGACGAGGGAGGGGAUAAUUUUCUUGGUAUCCACAAGAAGAUUACGGUCCAUCAGUAUCGAUAUAGCCCUUGAACCCCCUUUCAACCUCACUUCAAGAUGAGUAAGCCCCUCGUGGAUCAUCCUCAAUUUGUUUACAUCCAUGUCAGAAUCGGAUCCAACAUCCUCCUCAGCAAUAACCUUCCCUCUAUCACCAGUCGAAGAACGCACAUCUGCCGCAACCCCGGAAGCCGAGGCCUCUCCGCGUCUCGGAAGAGCAAGGUUGUUAUUGCUUACCACACCUUCGAUUGUGCCCUCCACAGGACGCAUACUCGUAUCCUCCAAACAAGGGGCCUCGGGACUUGCCUCUAGGCUUUCCCUGAUAUGCACUGCGACCAUUUCCCGAAGGAAAAAGACACAAUCUCCAACAUCGAUUCAGUAUGGCCCGAGAGUUGGAGAUGGACAUCGCAUACCAGCAGGUGGUGUCAAUUGCUAUGAGAUUGAAGGGUAUGCGGAUCCGGGAGAGAGAAGAGAGGGAAGCUAAGUGACCCAGAUAUUCUGGCAUGUAUAACAGUUCUCGUGCCCCAUUUACAACUCGUCAGGGUAGGGGUUAUAGGAAUUGUCCUGUUUAUUCAGCACUUCCAGCCGCUAGCGGUACUCCGACAAUUCCUAGGCCCCAGGAUCCUUAUUAUGCACCGCCAAUGUACCUCUUGUAUGGGGUGCUUCCAGUGGUCAUUCCAGUCGAUCAUGCCUAAGCCAGUCACAACAGACAAGUCCUCCGAGAGCUUGUUUUGAGUGUGGUGACACUCGUCAUAUGGUGAGGGAUUGGCCCAGAUUCAGGAGGGGUGCACCUUCACAGAUUUCUCAGGCCCGACUUAUUCCACAGGGCCCUCAGGUUUCUCAGGUCAUGAUUACUGCACCAGUUGCCACUCCACCUGCACAGCCAGCUAGAGGUGGAGGUCGGACAGGUAGAGGUCAAACUAGAGGGGAAGGCCAGGCCAGAUAUUAUGCCCUUCCUGCUAGGACAGAGGCAGUCGCAUCCUAUUCUGUUAUCACAUGUAUUGUUCCGGUCUGUCAUAGAGAUGCAUAUGUCUUAUUUGAUCCAGGCUCCACUUAUUCUUAUGUGUCAUCUUAUUUUGCCCCGUGUUUGGGCGUAUCCCAUAAUUCUUUGAGUUCUUUUGUUUAUGUAUCUACACCCGUGGGUGAUUCUAUUAUUGUUGACCACGUGUAUCGGUCGUUUUUGAUUGCUAUCAGCUAUUUUGAGACCAUAGCUGAUUUAUUAUUACUCAAUAUGGUGGAUUUCGAUAUUAUUUUAGGCAUGGACUGGUUGUCGCCCUAUCACGCUAUCCUUGAUUGUUACACCAAGACGGUGAUGUUGGCUAUGCCAGAUCUACUAUGUCUAGAGUGGAGAGGUACCUUAGAUUAUGUUCCUAGUAGGGUUGUUUCAUUUCUUAAGGCUCAACGAAUAAUUGAGAAGGGAUGUGAUACGUAUCUGGCCUAUGUGAGAGAUGUUAGUGUUGAUACUCCUACCGUGUAGUCAGUUCCAGUGGUAAGGGAUUUUUCAGAUGUAUUCCCAGCGGAUCUUCCGGGUAUGCCACCCAACAGGGAUAUUGACUUUAGCAUUGAUUUGUUAUCGGGCACUCAACCCAUUUCUAUUCUACCAUAUCGUAUGGCCCCAGCAUAAUUGAAAAAAUUAAAAGAGCAGUUACAGGAGCUGCUUGAUAAGGAUUUUGUUUGGCCCAGUGUAUCGCCUUGAGGUGCUCCUGUCUUAUUUGUGAAGAAGAAGGAUGGUUCUAUGUGGAUGUGUAUUGAUUACCGCCAGUUAAACAAGGUUACGGUGAAGAACAGGUAUCCAUUGCCACGUAUUGAUGACCUAUUUGAUCAGGUUCAGGGUGCCAGGGUGUUCUCUAAAAUUGACUUGCGUUCAGGCUAUCACCAGUUGAAGAUUCGGGAGCCAGAUAUUCUGAAGACUGCUUUCAGGACUCGGUAUGGUCAUUACGAUUUCCUUGUGAUGUCUUAUGGGCUGACCAAUGCCCCAGCAACAUUUAUUCACUUGAUGAAUAAUGUAUUUCAGCCCUAUCUCGAUUCUUUCAUCAUUGUGUUUAUUGACGAUAUUUUGGUGUAUUCCCAGAGUCGGGAGGAUCAUAAGCAGUACCUGAGGACUAUGCUUCAGACUUUGAGAGAAAAGAGGUUAUACACAAAAUUUUCAAAGUGUGAAUUCUGGCUUGAUUCAGUGGGAUUCUUGGGUCAUAUAGUUUCGUACGAAGGGAUCAAGGUAGAUUCGAAGAAGAUUGAGGCAGUGCAGGGUUGGUCCAGGCCGUCCUCAGCUACGGAUAUCCAGAGUUUUCCUUGGUUUGGCAGGGUAUUAUCGCUAAUUUGUAGAGGGUUUCUAUUCUAUUGCUGCAUCUAUGACCAAAUUGACCUAGAAGGGUGCUCCGUUCAGGUGGACCGAGGAAUGUGAGGAGAGCUUUCAAAAGCUCAAGACAACUUUGACUACAACCCCAGUAUUGGUGUUGCCUACACGUUCAGGGUCUUAUACUGUGUAUUAUGAUGCAUCGCGUAUUGGUCUCGAUGCAGUGUUGAUGCAAGACAGUAGGGUGAUUGCCUAUGUGUCCAGAUAGUUAAAGGUACAUGAGAAGAAUUACCCUAUCCACGACCUUAAGUGAGCAGCUAUUGUUCAUGCUUUAAAGAUUUGGCGGCAUUAUUUGUACGGUGCCCAUUGUGAGGUUUAUACCGAUCACUAGAGUCUACAACUUCUAUUUAAAUAGAAGGAUCUUAAUUUGUGGCAGCGGAAGUGGUUGGAGUUGCUUAAGGUUUAUAAUAUCACCAUUCUCUAUCAUCCCGGGAAGGCCAAUGUGGUGGCCGGUGCCUUGAGUCGUAAGCCGGAGAGUUUGGAAAGCUUAGCAUAUUUAUCGGUAGCAGAAAGGCCUUUAGCCUUGGAUGUUCAGGCCUUGGCCAACCAGCUUGUUAGAUUGGAUAUUUCCGAGCCGAUCCGAGUUUUGGCUUGUCUGGUUUCUCAGUCUUCUCUUUAUGAUCAUAUCAGAGAGCGUCAUUAUGAUGACCCCCAUUUGCUAGUCCUUAAGGACACAGUUCAGCACGGUGAUGCCAAGGAAGUCACUAUUAGAGAUAACGGUGUAUUACGGAUGCAAGAUUAGGCUUUGUGUGCUCAAUGUAUAUGGUUUGCAUGAGUUGAUUCUCCGGGAGGCUCACAGUUCGCGAUACUCCAUUCAUCCGGGUGCUUCAAAGAUGUAUCAGGACUUGAGACAACACUAUUGGUAGAGGCGGAUGAAGAAAGACAUAGUGGAAUAUAUAGCUCUGUGCCUAAAUUACCAGCAGGUGAAGUAUGAGCAUCAGCGACCGGGUGAAUUGCUUCAGAAGUUAGAGAUUCCAGAAUGGAAAUGGGAGCGAAUCACUAUGGAUUUCGCUGUUGGACUCCCACAGACUCAGAGGAAGUUCGAUGCAGUUUGGGUGAUUGUGGAUAGAUUGACAAAAUCAGCGCAUUUCAUCCAUGUGGUUACUACUUACUCUUCGGAGCGACUGGCUCAGGUUUAUUUUUACGAGAUUGGCAGGUUUCAUGGCGUACCGAUAUCUAUUAUCUCUGACUGGGGUACGUAGUUUACAUCAUGGUUCUAGAGGGUCGUGCAGUGUGAGCUAGAUACUCGAGUAGAGUUGAGUACAACAUUUCACCCUCAGACGGACGGACAGUCCGAGCGCACUAUUCAAAUAUUGGAGGAUAUGCUUCGUGCGUGUGUGAUAGAUUUUGGGGGUGAUUGGGAUCAGUUCUUUCCACUUGCAGAGUUUGCUUACAUGAACAACUAUCAAUCGAGAAUUCAGAUGGCUCCAUACGAGGCUUUAUAUGGGAGACGGUGCCAAUCUCCGGUGGGUUGGUUUGAGCUGGGUGAGGCUAGGCUAUUGGGUACUGACUUGGUUCAGGAUGCUUUGGAGAAGGUUAAAUUGAUUCAGAACGGCUUCACACGGUACAGUCUAGACAUAAGAGUUAUGCGGAUCGGAAGGUUCGUGAUGUUGCAUUCAUGGUUGGUGAGCGAGUCUUGCUCCGGGUUUCACCUAUGAAGGGUGUUAUGAGGUUCGGGAAGAAGGGCAAGUUGAGCCCUAGGUAUAUUGGGCCUUUUGAGAUUCUUGAGAGAGUUGGAGAGGUGGCUUACAGACUUGCACUACCACCUAGUCUCUCUGCAGUUCAUCCAGUGUUCCAUGUUUCCAUGCUCCGGGAGUAUCACGACAAUUCGUCUCACAUGUUAGACUUCAGCUCAGUCCAGUUGGACAAGGAUCUAUCUUAUGUUGAGGAACCAGUGGCCAUUUUGGACAGACAAGUUAGAAAGUUGAGAUCGAAGAGCAUUGCUUCAGUGAAAGUAUAGUAGAGGGGUCAUCUGGUCGAGGAGGCGACCUAGGAGACCGAGCAUGAUAUGUGCAGUCGUUAUCCGUUAUCCUCAUCUUUUCACCACUCCAGGUAUAAUUCUAAACCCGUUCGAGGACGAACAUUUGUUUAAGAGGAGGAGGAUGUAACGACCCGGUCGGUCGUUUUAAGAAUUAUAGCCCCGUUCCCCCACUUACUACUCAUUUUUGUACUUUAUAGCUAUUAUAUGACUUGUCGGGGUAGUCAGUUCUGGUCCGGUGAGGUUUAGGAAUGAAUUGAGACACGUAGUCUCAAGGAGGAAAAAUUUAAGUUGAAAAGGUUGACCGGAUAUUUACUUAUGUGUAAACGACUCCAGAAUAGAGUUUUGAUAAUUACAAUGGCUCUGUAUGGUGAUUUUGGACUUAGAAGCGUGUCCGGAAAAUUAUUUGGAAGUCCUUAGUUAAAUUAUGCUUGAAAUGGCAAAAAUAAAAAUUUAAAUUAAAAGUUUGACCGGGGAGUUGACUUUUUUAUAUCGAGGUCGGAAUCCGAUUCUGAAAAUUUGAAUAGGUCCGUUAUGUCAUUUAUGAUUUGUGUGCAAAAUUUGAGGUCAAUCGGACUUGAUUUGAUAGGUUUCGACAUCGAAUGUAGAAGUUGGAAUUUCUUAGAUUCAUUAGGCUUGAAUUGAGGUAUGAUUAGUGUUUUUAGCAUUGGUUGAUGUGAUUUGAGGCUUCGACCAACUUCGUAUUAUGUUUUAGGACUUGUUGGUGUAUUUGGUUGAGGUCCCGGGAGCCUCGGGUGAGUUUCGUAUGGUUAACGGAUCGAAAUUUGGACUUAGAACAAAGUUGGAAACUUUCUAUCAUCUGAUGCAAUCGCACUUGCGGAAUUUGGCUCGCAGAAGCGAGUGUGGGAGCAGAGAAGCGGAAAAGGGAGAAUGAAGCAGUGGCCGCAGGUGCGGAGGAAAUUUUUGCAUCUGCGCGACCGCAGAUCGGACGAAGGAUCGCAGGUGCGCUUGGGACCGCAGAAGCGGACGCUUCAUCGUAGAAGCGGACUCCUUGUCCGCAUAAGCGAAGGCUGUCACAGAAGCAGGAGACUUACCGCAAAGCAGAACCGUAGAUGCGGUUAAAUAUUCCGUAGAAGCGGAACCUCUAGGAAGUGUACAAAAACAGAGGGUUCCGAGUUUUUGUCAUUUUUGGUCAUUUCCAACACGGUUUUGGGGCGANNNNNNNNNNNNNNNNNNNNNNNNNNNNNNNNNNNNNNNNNNNNNNNNNNNNNNNNNNNNNNNNNNNNNNNNNNNNNNNNNNNNNNNNNNNAAAUUCUUUAACUUGAGUUUGCUUUAGUAUAUGUAGUGAUCAUGUUUAGUCUAGUAUCAUAUGUCUACGUGCCCUAACUCUUACUUGCAAUAUGUGUAACAUGCUUAGCUGAAUUACCUGCUUAUUUGAUUUGAUUUAAAUCUUUAACUGUGAGAUUCUUGCUGUAAAUUUGCUGUUUUCUUCGGAUAUCUGUUGCAUAUUUACUUUGGGACUACGAGGCGGUUCCUCGGGAGAUUCCCAUGUGCUACAUAUUUACUUUUGGGACUACGAGGCGGUUCCUCAAGAGAUCCCCCUAUACUGCAUAUUUACUUUUGGGACUACGAGGCGGUUCCUCGGGAGAUCAUCAUGUACUGCAUAUUAACUUUUGGGACUACGAGACGUUUUCUCGGGAGAUCCCCCUAUAUUGCAUAUUUACUUUUGGGACUAAGAGGCGGUUCCUUGGGAGAUCCCCCCGCACUGCAUAUUUACUUUUUGGGACUACGAGGCGGUACCUCGGGAGCGCCCCUGUUGUUUACCUUUAUUUGCUGUGUUGCUCACUUCUCGGUCAUUUCGUUAUAUUAUUACGUCCUCUGCCUUACAUUUCUAUUAUUUCCAGUAGGGCCUGACCUGACCUCGUCACUACUUUAUCGAUGUUAGGCUUGACACUUACUAGGUAUCGUUGUGGUGUACUCAUACUACGCUUAUGCACAUCGUUUUGGACAGAUCCAGGUACUUCUUACCAGCCCAGAUAUUAGUGAGCUACCUGUGUGCGGAGACUUCAAGGUACAUUUGUCAGCGUCCGCAGACCUCGGAGUCCCGCUUUAUCCUUAUUAUGUUGUUUUUCUUAUUUUAGUAGACUCUAAUGUAUAGAGACAUUAGUAUUUUUCUUAGAAACUUGUGACUUGUUUCUACCGGAUUUUGGGAGAUUGUAGUUCUUUGACUUGCAGUUUUCAUUUAUUACAACUAUUGAGGUUUGAGUUUCAGACUCUUAUUAUGUUAUUCCGUAAUUUGUUAGGCUUGCCUAGUCUUAGAGACUAGGUGCCAUCACGACAUCCUACGGAGGGUAAAUUGGGGUCGUGACACUAGGGGGCCUGGUAUUUAGGAUAAGAGGUGAAAACAUAUCCAACCAGUUCAUCCCAAGAACCAAGCCACAACCUCCCACUCUCAGUACUCCCAUAUCAAAACAAAAAUAUUCAUCUUGUAUUUACUACCAUAAUUGAGGACAAACUUUAUUACACUACAUUAUUUUCUCAUUUGCUACAUUUACUUUCAUAGCACAGGGCAUCACCUCUAAUUUGAGACUCUUAACCACUUGGGGAUCUACAAAACUGUGAGUUAACCCGGAGUCGAUCAAAAUAGAUAAGGGAAUCUUCUUUCCAUAACCUAAAAUUUUGACUGUAGAGGGAGAACUGGGCCUCCCCAUAGCCACACAAAGAGAUAUUUCAGCUUGCACUUCCUCCUGAACUUUCUCUCCUGCAUAUCAUUCUUGUUUCCACUAGCUUCACCCUCUUCUUGCAGAGCCUGCACUUAUUCCAUAACUUGUAUCUGGGCCUCUGGAAUCUCACCUUCCCAAGUGAUGGUAUUAACUAUUUUGGGCUUACAUUGGUGGUCAGGGAAAUACUUCUCAUGACAUUUAUAGCAAAGACUUUUAUCUCUAGUGGCAUCAAAAUAAGUGUUUGGUUUGAAGGGAACUCUUGGUCUAGGAACAAGCGCCUUAUUGUUGGAUAUUUUGAGGUUGGUUAUAGGUUCCCUGGUAAGACACAAUGGCUCUAAAAUUAGUUUGAGGGUGAUUUGGGUAAUGAAAAAUUCUUGGAGUAGUGUUUCUAGUCAAGGCUUCGAAAGAUGCUUCAUAGGAUUUAGCUAUUUCGUAUGCAUCCAUUAGAGAUGUAGGAUUGGCUAAACCUACUAAGGGCUUAUACUAAGGGUUUCAACUCAGGUUUUAAUCCGCUAAUGUAACUAGCAAUAAAAUGAGUUUCAUUCAAAAGAGGGUUUACUAGUAAUAUGUAGGAUUUGAGUUCAUCAAACCUUUCUUGAUAGCUAUCCACACUUCCAUUUUGUUUGUUAUUGUUGAACUUAUCAACAAUAUCAAUGGGUCUGACAUUUUCAAAUCUGUGACACACCUCACACAAAACAUAGGCCAGUUGGUACCCCCUUUUCUCCAAGAUGUAGCUCUGAUUCACGAGCUGAGCUAUAGAAGAGCUCAGUCAUGAAGAAACAUAAUUUGAGAGAAGAGAAGAGAGGAAGAAGAAGAUAGAGAGAAAUUAGAUAAUAUUUCUGAUGAUUCUGAAAAUGAGUACAUUGUCAACAUAUAACGAAGCCAACCUAGGAUUCCCUAUUCUAACGGCAUACUAACCACGUGUCUCUAAUAUCCAGUAAUUGCAAAAGGGACCAACUACAAAUACAGAAAUUAAAAUGGACUGAAUUAAAAAUAGUACUAAACUUAGGACUUUAAAGUUUGCUUAACCCUUUGGAUGGUUUCGUAAUGUUCAGCACCAACGAUCCGAGGUUGAAGCAUGGUUGGCGUUGAAUCUAAAGGAUCUACUGCUGGAUAAAUACCUUUGGCAGCCAAUCCUCUUGAUAGUAUGGUAGUAACAUCUAAAUGUGCAAAUGUCGUAGCAGGAACAGGGUCAGACGAUUGCGGGUACAUAAACUGCUUGAAUAGAGGUUAUGGACAACUAAUUACAACAUUAGCUAUCUUAAUUCUUGACAGAAAUAGAGCUUUGGAAUUGGAGAACUGGACAAGAUUAUAUCACAUGAAUUUAUAUGAUAGGAGCAGGGUCAGACGAUUGCGGGUACAUAAACUGCUUGAAUAGAGGUUAUGAACAACUAAUUACAACAUUAGCUAUCUUAAUUCUUGACAGAAAUAGAGCUUUGGAAUUGGAGAAUUGGACAAGAUUAUAUCACAUGAAUUUAUAGUCUUUCGCGCCGAAAUAAGGCCAACUUGGAAAUAUAAAUUUUUUACUCGUAGCCAUAUAAAGAACCAAGUUCGAGACAGCAUUAUUUGGCCUUUCUUCUGCAACAUAUUCAUGAUGUUACUCCUCUGGAAACUGCAUUUUUAUAUACUUCAUUUUAAGAAAGAAAAAGAAAUAUUAGAUUUAUAGUGUAAAUAGAAUAGACGUACAGAAGAGUGUAUAUAAUUCCAAUGCAACUGAUUAUAAGAAAGUAAAAGAUUCACGGGUAAGACUUUUGUUGUCAUGAAUUCCCUACAUUAUAAUAUUCACUAGGAAAUUUGCCGCGCUUCGCGCGACUAAGAAAAACAACAAUAAAUAGAUUUUUUUUAAAAUUUAGUCAAUAUUUUUCAGCUAUUUUAAGAAAUUAAUUGUAUAUAUUGAUAAAAUCACAAUAAAUGUUUUUAUUAUAAUUAAGCUUAAACAAAUUACAUUUGUUUGGUCUAAUAUUCUUCAAAAAUGGAAAAUGAAUCUUUUAGAAAAAUUCUCAUAUUGUGGGGGUGGGGUUGGGGGUUUGGGGGAGGUUAAAUACACAUUCUCUUAGUGUAAUAUAUUUAUAUAUGUAUCUAACGACUUGAUUAACUUUUUCUACUUUAAUUAUAUAGUUGUAUUACUUUUUUUUAGGAAACCGAAAGAAGUAAUGAAACCAAAAAUAAGAAAAAGGAAAAGGAAAAAAAUUCCUUUCAUUGUUUUCUAUUUAUUUCCUUAAUUCUCAAUUUCUGGUCAUCUGAAUAAACUGCUAUUGCCUACUUCCUCUCUAUCCUCCAUUAUUUCUUGCUCUAAUUAUUUCCUUCUUUUUGUUUGCUCUUCAUUUGUUAAUUUUCUUCCCUUUUUUUUUCUUCUCCGACGGUUACCUUUAAAAAAAAAAAAAUCUAACCUUUCCUCUCUUCUUCAAAUUUAGAAAUCCCUUUGUCCUUCUCCUAAUUCUCUCAAAAUAUACCAUAAAUUUUGCUUCUAUUUUAAUAUUUGCGUCACUCAUCUUAUAAAUAGAGAAAAGUAACUUUUAAAAAGAGGGAGGGAGAAGCAAACAGCAAAAAAAAACAAAAUUCUAUUUAAGAUAAUUUUUUUUAGUUCCAGAAAUGGACUAACAAUAAUCUUUUGGGAGCUUUCCAAGAGCAAUUGAUUCUCACUGCUUUCCUGGGAGCAACAGAGACAUAGUUAAUAUUUAAACCUUAUGAGUUCGAGAUUAUAAUCAUUUUAAGUCAUUGGAUUUUAAAUCAAUAAUUUAUACAAAUUCAUUGAAUUUCUUAAUACAAAUAAAGAGUUUGAACUAAAACUAUUCGGUUCGCCGAAUCCGCAACCAACAUUGUGGGGAGCAAUGCUAUUUGACACCAAGAUGUUAAGUUUUUAUGUUUUUUUAUUUGGCAUAGUGAGGUAAAUUAUUUAGAAAUUAUAAUUAUGUAUUGUCUUCGCGGGUAAUGAAACACGAAGUAAUGAAAAUUUAGAAAAGGAAGAAAGUAGAUGAAAACCAAAGAAAGGGAGUUAGAAAACUGGACCAAUAAUAUCAAUCCGAAGAAAGGAAGAAGAUAAUUAUUGACUCUUAUACUAUUACUAUGUCUCUUUGUUAUCCUUAUUUAUUACAAAUUUUUAUAAUGCUCACAGCUUUACAUUGUCUUCUCUAUCACGAUUACAACAAUAUAUAGACAAUAGAUAAAUAGAAAAGAGCCAUCAGUGAGAUAAGAAACAUAAAAGAAAAUGAAAAAAUAACUAUUUGGUCUUAGAGAUGUGCCAAACUUAUUAACUCGACUCUUGUGGUAGUAUAGUGUCAGCUUCCAACGACUUGUACGAAUUUGUAACAAUUUGGCUCCUUUAAAAGUGAAUAUUAGAAAAUAUGGGUAGACAUACUGUUCUGAUAAAUCAAAUGAAUUAGGAAAAUUUUGAAAUAAAAAAUUAGCCAUCUAAAUAAAUAAGAAGUAAUUAAUCUAUUUAUUUACACACACAUAUACACACAAAGAAAAAUAUGGUGAGAGGCAACAAACAUGCUUUGACCUAAAGAAAACUCAAACCCAUUAGAGAACAGAAUAGGAAGUUCCACUUCCAAAAUUACAGGUUAAAUUAAAGGACAUAGUGGUUUGGUAGACGGGAAACCAAUUUCAAUAUUGGUACAAUACAAGCAUUUAUUCGAUUAAACCAACUAUUUAGAAGUUAUAUUUUCACAUCAAAGUAAACGGAUAAUACCUGGAUCUGCCUCUUGAACUCUGCCUAAAUAAGCCAGGUAGAACUCCACACAAGAAAGAUGCAUCAAAUUUUAUAAGUUUUAUAAAUUUGAUUUCAAGAAUUAAGCACCUUUUCAUUAUUCUACCAUAUCUGCUGACUCUUUUGACAUCAUACAUAAAUAUUUGACAAAAUAAUCUGUAAGAAAAGAAUUCAACACGUGAGUAAGAAAAUAUAAGAAAUCAGUAUUAAUAUAAAACAAAGAAAAGAAACGGCGAUGUACCAUUUAGAGGAUGCAAAGCUGAGAUGUCACCCAUUUAUCUUUUAGUUAAGUUUUGUUGUGCAAGUAUUCCUUUUAUUUGUUAAAAAUAUAAGAGAAGAAAAGGAGAACUAAAAAGGAAAAGAUUUAAAAAUCAAAAGAAAUCAGAUCUCCUCUACUUCCUUUUCUAUCGUUUUUGCUUUCUCCCUUUGUUGUUCUUCAGUAAUUACUCUUUACUUUUCUGUUCAUUUUGUUUUUCUUUAUAUUUCUUUUCAUAAUACUCCGUUUUCUUACCAUCUGUCUUCCUACUUCUCUAAUCAGAAAACAAAUCCCUCCCUUUUCUCCUCAUGAUCUACUGCAAAAUCUCAAAAUAUAUGUUCUAUGCUCCAAAGUUCAUCCUACCAUUUAUAUUCUCAUACUCAUUUCAAUAAAUUGAAAGAUUUUUGUAAAGGAAAGAUCCGACAUAUGGUAAUAUAUAAAGAGAUUCCGAAGUGCAUCAUAAAAGAAAAAUCAGAUGCUAAGUUUCUCCUUUGUAGAACAAAGGGGCGCGAAGUUUAAAAAAAAGAGGAAGAUUUCAAGAUGAUAUGUACCAAAAUUAUAUCGAAGUAGCACUUCCAGGGAACACAAUUGAUACAUGGUAACAUCAUAAUUUCGCUGUGAAAGAAGAAAAUAUUACAAAGGAAACAAUGAAGAGUAAAAUAGAAAAUAGAUGAAAAUAGUAGCAUAAAAAUUAAUACACCUCAUGACUCAUGAGUAAUGCGGAGCAGUUGUGAAAGAUCCCAUUGAAAUUUUGAAGCAGAAAGCAGUAUCUGAAAGCCUUGUGAGUAAGGACUUCUAGUAAGUAGAAAGGAACGUUUCUUUCUCUGAUUGUGAUGUGACUUUUGCAUUCAUGAAAUGUUUUGUUGCUAAAGGACUUAUAAGAAUAAAACGGAUCGGUUAUUCAGUAUAACCUUUAUAAGUGGGAAGGUGGCUUUUCAAAAAGGACGUCUAACAAUUGAUAUAGGAGAAAAAUUUUAAUAAAAUGAGAAAAAGAUAAAUGUGAUUCCUAAGUAUUGAGAAAUGUCACGUCAGCCUGUCAAGUCCCUUAUAUUUAUACAUAUAUAUAUAUAUAUAUAUAUAUAUAGAUUAUCCCGUGACUCUUGUUGAUAAUAAAAUAAUGAACGAGAUAGCUUGGCAUCAGUAAAGACAAAACAAGAUCUGAGGAUUUCUUUUACAAAUGUAGAGCUUAUCAAUCUCAGAAACUAAACUAGUCAAUGCACACUUCUGCAUAACAAUACAAGUUCUUCAAUUCCGGUCUAAUUUGCCGUCACAACUUGUACAUUCACAUGUCUAAAGUUACAAACAUUUCCCAAAAAUCAAGGUUCUUGUAAAAAGCCAAACCAUUUGGGGAAGCUCCAGAUCUUUAAGAAAUUAAACAAGGAAAACUAUAGGAAUUAAGCAGAUUCUCUGAACCUAAACUAUUUUAUCUAACUUAUAUCACAUUGCUGACCAAAAAAAAAAGUAUGACAUUACUAAAGGCUACUAAAACCUCUACUACAUUUUCUUCUUUCUGGGGAUUCAAGCGACGAAUCUAGGAAGAACACGAACUAUAUGGACGUCAAAAUCCACAAAUAAUAUAACUAAACUUUUAAAUACUCUUUUUUCAAAUUUCAACCAAAUAUUGACCAAACGCCUAGUGAAGGGUUUGCUCGUUAACUAGUGAUGGACUGAGGAUCUAGUGGUGAGAGAGGACCUCAUAUCUACGAUGGUCGACUCAUCUGCUCCUAACUUAGUAGCUUCUUUGCUUGCACUAAUAAAUCUUGAAACUGCACCUGUUACGUAAUUAUGAGCUUCUUUCACGUUCAUUUUCUUCCCCAUUUCAUGUGGGAAACUGCUCAAGAAAUGGUCUCCAUUCAACACGGCUGCUAACUGUACUAUUUCACUCUGAAACUCAGACAACCCUCGAGUUUCAUCCGCUUUUGUGCUCCUCAAUGGAGCUACAUCAGGCAGAACCUCUGUAAAUUUUUACACUAUCAGAUCAUAUACAGAACAAUUACUAAGUAACUGUCCAAAAAAAAGCUAAUAAUAGUAACCUAAAAAAUAUGACAGAUCACAUUUAAGCUACAAAGUGUUAAAAUACACUGAGGGUGUAACAGUUCUUCAUGUUGCCAUUGUAAUGGAGUUAAAAUCAUAUCAGUAUACUUUAAUUUGUUGUUGUUUUUAAGUUACAAAUCUCACUGUUUACGAUGAUUACCUAUAAACUAUAGUAAUCACUUAAUAGUAUAAAGUUAUUUUACACUAUUAUAAUAUAAAAAUCUAAAAAAGGAAAAUCUUGGAGCAAUGUCAAGCUGUCUUCAUGUGACCUAUAGGUCACGGGUUCGAACCUAAGCAUCGGUCUGCCCCUUUUACUAUAUAAAAUCUAUUCUGAAUUUGUAGUACUUCACGAAAACACUGGUUACAUAAACUGAAGUGGAAUGGAGGCGAAUUGUUAAAAUUAAAAUAGCCAGCGAGGAAGCAUUAAAAAAAUGAACAAACCCUCGUGACAAGAUUGAUCAUUUAUGAAUAUUCUAAGACUAUCUAAAGACUUCCUACAGUAUAUUAAUACAAUAUAUUCUCAUAAAUUAAUUAAGAAUAUUUUUGUGGCUUUGUGCAAAAUACUAUAAUCACUAUAGUUAUCUUACCAGGGCAAUCAGACCUUGGAGAUGACAAUUGACCUACAACCUGCUCAAAAGUGCCAGCCCAAGCAUCUCUAUGAGUUAAAAAGCUGGAUGUGAGAUUGAAUAUUCUCUUUAUAGUUGCAGGGAUUGAUGAGUGCUCGAACUCCGAAUUUGGUUUUGGUCCCUUCGGUUUGCUUAUCACUGUAAUACAGAAACCAAAAGGGAUAGUAUUAUAUUAUUACUUAAUCACACUAUCUACACAGAAAAAUACAAACAAGAGUUAAUUAAUCCCGUGACUAUCUUCGAUAAGAGUACAGUACAGAUAGAUCUGCACAUCUUGACGUAUUGAAAAAUAUUUUAGUUUAUCCCUCUGAAAGUAGCACGUAGAAAUUUGGAUCAAUAUUUUCUUACUCUAUGACAACCUACUAAAAGAAGGUGCAUCAACUAUCAAAAAUCAGUGGUGCAAUGAGAAUUUAAAUUCUGAGUUCUAAAUUAGGAUAACGACAUUAGUUGUUAGUAAUCAGGUUCAAAAUCAAGGAGCAUCACCAUCGAAAUUGGAUCCUGGCAGCGCAGUACAAGUCAAGUUGUGCGCCCAAAAUUGACCAAUGUAACUACCUAAGAUUUGAGUCUUAGGGUGCUAAUAGAAAUACAUACAUGUUAGUUAAGAUAUAUACAUAUAUCUUUUUUGAAUUUACCAGAGGCCGGUCUGCCCUAAGGAUAAGUCCGCCUCUGUUCAAAAUAGUAUAACUCGAGGCGGUCAAAAUGCAACCCAAAUCUAAACAUAUGAAUUUAAAUUUGAAGAUCGAAAAUUAUGUAAAUUUGAAAGAACUAAAGUUAAUAAUUUAAGUUGGGCCAUAUCAAAAUGCAACCCACCUAAGCAGGCGAGUUGAGCAAUAAUCCAUUUAUUGAUUCGAACAGUUUUGACCGUCCAAGUUUGACCCAACCCGCUCCUAUAACAAGCAAAUAGUGAAAGAAAGUUGUAAGCUUACCGGUUCCUUUCUUGAUCCAAGGAGAAACCAUAAUGGUUGGUACACGAACACCAAGCCUAUCAAACUUAAAGAAAUUAGGUGCAGGUCCAGUAUUUCCAUCUGGGUUUGGAACAUCACCGUAUGGAGUUUGGACAUGAUCAUAAAAUCCGCCAUGUUCAUCAUAUGUAAUAAUAAAAAGUGUCUCAUUCCACUGUGGACUACUUCUUAAUGUCUCAUAAAUCUCCUUCACUAAUUUCUGCCCAUUAGCAACAUCAUGUGAUGGGUGAUCAUCAUUUGCUGGAUAACCCGUAAUAUCAAAAUACCUUGGCUCAAUCACUGUCAAAUUCGGCAAAUUCCCAUUUUUAGCAUCUUUCUUGAACUUCAAAUCAUAUGAAUGGUACUUGAAUACAUACUUCAACAUCCUCAGAUUUCUAAAGAACAGAGUUGCUGGUAAUGUUUGGUGAUAUAUGCCAAAAUCUAUUCCAUUUUCGUGAAGUGAAUCGAAUAUGGUCUUUUGUGGAUAUCCAGUAGCCAACAGCUUCUUUACAUGGCUAGUGGAACCAUGAGAAGUGGCAGAGUAUAGAAAUAACCUGUUUGGUUGAGUUGGACCAGGAAUUGAACAGAACCAUCUAUCAAAUACUGCAAAUUCACGAACUAAUGUCGCGUAAAUUGGGACAUUUUCUGGCUUAAAUCCUCUCAUGACUGUUCUUGAUAGGUUCUGAGACAUACUGAGUGCUUGUUCCACAAAGCCUGACAUUGAAGGAAUGGACCCUGAGCCGAAUACCUGUUGAGACAACUUAAAUUUUUAGACAGAUAGUCACACAAUUUAAUAUGAUAUCAAAACGGACAAGAGGAUCCUGAACCAAAAAGAAAAAAAGGUAUUUCUACGUGUUUGGCUCAUGAAAACGAAUGUUAGUCAUACGGGAAGGGGCGUGUUUUGAAACAUAAAGUUAAAGCUUUUAGAUGAGAUCAAUUCAAUAUAGUGUCAGAAUAGGCAAGAGACUCUGGAUUCAAAUCUCGUUGUGAUCCAAAAAGCAAAAAAAAUUAAAAAAAAACAAGUGCUUGGCAUAUGAAAAACAAUCGGGGCCCACGUUAGUGAGUGGUGAGAUGUGAGUUUAAGCUUUUUAGACGAGAUGGUUACGGACAUCAAACAAUACCUGUUGCUCGACAGCUUCAAAGGAGUGACCAGGGUCUGGAUCCACAUACUGAGCAUCAUCAGUGAAGCAUAUUGUUUCAGUAAGUUGGGCUUUAGUUGACAUUGGGUUGCACUCUUUGCCAGUGACACCAUUAAUAUGUGGAUUCACUGAUUUUUUCAUCCAUCCAAGCAAGUGAUCAAAAGAUCUGUUCUCCAACACCAACACAACAACUGUUUUAAUGGGUUGUUUUUGCUGUCCGUAAGUUUUCUGAGAAACCCAUGAAAGGGUGAAAAAGAGCAAGAAAACAGUGGCAGAUGGUGGAGCUUUGCUUCUCAAGUGGUCCAUUCUUGAAUCUGAAUUGGUACUAUACUAUCUUUAAAGAUAUGGGGAUGCAAGAAUGAGUAUAGUGGAGCAAAAGCAAAUGAACAGUACUGUAUUAAAGAGCCCCCUUUUUAUUUUUUCACUUUUUCUUAAUGAUUGAUUUAAUGCCAGUGAAAUAAAAUGGGAAGCUGCUAAAUAAGCUAUUAAAAAAAGAAGAGAGGUAUGUGGUUAGGAUGAACUAAAAAGAGGAAGGAUCUGGUAGUAUAUUAGAGGUGUAAUGAGACAGAUGAAUGAAUGAAAUUAAAUGUAUAGAUGUAGUGAAAGCUUUAAAUGGAUCGGAGAUUUGUCCUGAUCUGAUGUGGGUCUUAGUGGGGUGAAUGAUAAGUAAGCUGUAAAGUGGGAAAAGGGAGGAGUAAAAGAAGGGGCUUUGGUAGUCAAAAUGUGAAAUAGGAAAAAAGUUUUUUCACCCCUUAUAUAUAUAUUUAUAACAACUCAAUAAAUACAUAAUAUUUGUUUUCAUAUACUAGUUAAUUAAAUAUACAUUUUCGCCUUAAUUUACCACUUAGACAUGAUCAGUUAAUAUGAUUCGGUUAAAUGCCAAUUGCAAUUAAAUUUUUAUGGUGAAGUGAGCAUAUGUUUCACCACCAAAACUUAUAGUUUAAUGGUACUGGUGGGAGUCUUUCUCAUAAUAAUUGCGUCAUUAUCACUGUCCUGUCCCCCUUUCCCUCCCUUCUCCUUCCCUAUGUAAUAAAAAGUUGGCAUAUGUAUCAGAAAAUAUGAAGUUUCCUUUUAGUACAGUUGCUUAACUUGUUUGUUACCACAGCCAACAUGAGGCUUGAUGCUUGUCAAUUGGAACAUAUUCUGGGAAUGGAACCUUCCUCACUGGUAAUGUUUUUAACGUAACUCAUAAAGUACCAAUCAUGAUUCAUGAGUAGAGGACAUGCCAUUUCUAUUGAGAUAUCAAUGUGUUAAACAUUUGAAUUGAAGUGGCUUCUGCUAUCUACUAAUUGGGUCUUCUAUACUCCCUACAAGAGAAGACAUUAAAUCUUUUUAUUUCCUUUAAAUGUUGUGAACUUCUUCUUUUUCUUUCCAAAAUAUGGUCAUUAGUCAAAGAAGGAAAGCAAACUGACGCAAAAAGAUUGACAAAAGAAAUCAAUAAUCUCCAAUCUCGCUUGCUAUUCUCACGUGAAAUCAUGCACCGACAAAUCUAGAGUUAUUCUCUUUCUUCUUUUCUUUUCCUUACUUUUCAAGGUUGGUUUUAUUGCAGCCACGUUCUAGUUGGACCCUCUUUAUCUUAUUUCUCCCGUUGUGCCCCCCUUCUACCAGUAAAAGAUUUUAAUUUUGCCAUUUCUAAAAUUAGGUGUCUCAAAAACUAGUACUCCUAUUAUAAUUGAUACCAAAAGAUUUCUUUGUAUGAAUUUAUUUCAAGAUAGUCUUCCAAUUUGGUUAAAGAAAAGGAAGUCGGACGAGCAAUUGCACAAUAUAAAAAGCUGAGAAUUCACUUCUGGUUAUACUGUUUAAUUUAAACCAUAAUUUAGAGACUGCCAACGAAUUUGAGUACUGCUAUGUGCUGUAAACUUCAAUUCAAAGGCCAAAACUUGAAGGUAUUGAUCUAGUAAACUUUUACCGUUCUAUUCCGUUGGAUUUCACCAACCCCUUUCUCAUCCCAAGUCCACUGACGUUGUACCCGAGAAAAAAUUAAUCAAAAGGAAACAAAAGUUUGGACACCGCACUUCAACCAAUCUGUUUUGUUUUCUUUUCACUGACAUGAACAAUAAAUGUAAAUUUGUCAUUACAAGCACAAACAAAUUUGCUUCGCCAAAUAUCUGUAUAUAAAUAUCAAUGCACAUACGAUCACCUGAAUUCUGUCACUCUCACGGGAAUUAAAAUUUGCUUAGGUCAGAGAGCUAAUUACAAAGGGUGUAGGGGACACAAUUCUCA